GACGAACGCUGGCGGCGUGCUUAACACAUGCAAGUCGAGCGGUAAGGCUCCUUCGGGAGUCCACGAGCGGCGCACGGGUGAGUAACACGUGAGUAAUCUGCCCUUCACUUCGGGAUAACCACCGGAAACGGUGGCUAAUACCGAAUACGACCAGUCUUCGCAUGAGGUGCUGGUGGAAAGUCUUUUCGGUGAAGGAUGUGCUCGCGGCCUAUCAGCUUGUUGGUGGGGUAAUGGCCUACCAAGGCUUCGACGGGUAGCCGGCCUGAGAGGGUGACCGGCCACACUGGGACUGAGACACGGCCCAGACUCCUACGGGAGGCAGCAGUGGGGAGUAUUGGACAAUGGGCGAAAGCCUGAUCCAGCAACGCCGCGUGAGGGAUGACGGCCUUCGGGUUGUAAACCUCUUUCAGUACCGACGAAGCGCCCUGUCGGGUGGUGACGGUAGGUACAGAAGAAGGACCGGCCAACUACGUG
rnacentral:rRNA from 1 species